GGAGAGUUGUCCGAGCGGUUUAAGGUGCAGUCUUGGAAAGGCUGUGUAGUCGAAAGGCUACCAAGAGUUCGAAUCUCUUACUCUCCGCCA
rnacentral:tRNA from 1 species